CUAAAUAGUAAAUGCUACACGGGCUACCGGAAAGGCGUUUUGAGCGG
rnacentral:sRNA from 1 species